CCGGGAGCCCGCGGUCCCCGGGCGGGGAGGAGCCGUGGUGCGGCCGGAGAGCUGCUGACCCCUCGCCCCCAGGAAAACCCCGAUGCCCGCGCCUCUCGCCUGCGCCCUCGGCCCGAGGCGGCCGCCGGGAAUUCCAAGGACCGGGCCCCUGCUUGCCGCAAGUAGUCCCUGAUCUUUGCUACCGUGGCCAAACUUGGAGCGGGUCCCGCAACUUGGAGGGCGGCCUUGCGGGUGGCCAGGGCUUUAGGUUCCUGCCACCUCCGUAGUAAUGUUCAUCAGCUGGCUCCCCUCCUCAGGCGCCCAGGUUAAGCCCAGACUUCAUCUAAUCUAAGCGGACGCGAUGCUUGUGUGCAGAUUAGUUUUCCGUACAAAUGCCAUAGCCUCCCCCGGAUCCGGCCAGUUUUUAGGCCCUAUAUUUCUCUCACAGAAAUUCAGAAGCCGCUAUUACAAACCCCACCCGUGACUGGAAUUUCUCCUACUUUUGCAUAAAGUAAAGCCCUGGUUCUCAAACUUGAGUGUGUGUGGAAGGCAUCCAAGAAGCUCGUUUAAAAGGCAGAUUCUGGCCUUCCUGCCUUGCUGCUCAUCAGUAAGAGCAGGCUGGGGCAGGAAUUUUCAUUUGCAAAAGCACCCCAGGCUUAGAAUCCCUAAAGAGCGUGUUGUGUGGGGAAUAACCUGAGUUCAGUAUCAGCAGGGCGAGCUGGAGGGAGCAGGGAGAGGGAUGAGAUGAAGGCUGGAGAGAUGGGUGGGCUUUAGACAUGAACUAACUUUCUUUUCCCACCUUAUGUGCCUGUCAGGUCUGGAGGACGUGUCCUGUUGCUGCUUUUGGAUCUCCAGCUUUUUUGUUCACAUCCCCCUUUCCCUCUGAAGUUCAUGCUGUGCUCUGUGACACUUGCCACCCCUCCUUAAGGCAGUCAUUUCCAGGGCAAGUUGCCAAGUUUCCUUUUCCACUUUUUCUACUUCCUUUUUAGAGAUUUCAGCUUCCUGGCUUCUUCACUUUCCUCAUCCUCCUCAGCUAUGGGCAUCUUUUCCCUCCAUCCUCAUCCACUUGCUCCUGUGGUUGUGAGCUUUUUAUUACUAUGUCACCUCCAAAAUCUUGACUGCCAUCGUGCCUCCCCCUCUCUGACCACACCUUGUGUCUUCCAAGCUUCCGUUUGCCUUACUGUGCCCGCUUUGCAGAGCAUUCACCCAUCACCCUUUCACUGUCUAAGCUCCAUUACUGGCCUCCCUUGCCCCCAUUCAUAACCCAGCUUAGCUUCGGUGCCCACUCACUGUUAAUCUUGUUUUCCUUCUUUCUGUUGGAAAGUUAGCUUCACCUUUGAAAGUGCCGGGAGCCAGUCUUUAGGCUGGGGCCAUUUAGAUUGGAGUCCACGCGUCUUCAGUGGACUCCACGAUAGAAAACCUGCCUUGCUGCCUUCUCUCCAGACUGCCAGCAUACUUCCUCUCAGCCAGUUAUCUUAUUUCUUGUUCUACUUCUCUUCACUGACUGUGUUCCUUUCUUUGCUCACACCCAUGUUUUCCCCACGCUUGUCUCCAGCUCCAGACACAGAUAUCCACCAAAUUUUUAGCACCUCCACUUGAUUAUUAUUUUUUUUUGUUUUUUAUUUUUUGGUACAAGGGUUUGAACCACUGAGCCACAUCCCCAGCCCUUUUAAUUUUUUGAGACAGAGUCUUGCUAAGUGGUUCAGGGCCUUGCUAAGUUACUGAGGCUGUCUUUGAACUCCUAAUCCUCCUGCCUUAGCCCCCUGAGCCUCUGGGAUUACAGGUAUGUGCCACCGCGCCCAGCUUCCAC
rnacentral:lncRNA from 1 species